rnacentral:rRNA from 1 species
UGGGAAGUAUUGCACAAUGGGCGCAAGCCUGAUGCAGCCAUGCCGCGUGUAUGAAGAAGGCCUUCGGGUUGUAAAGUACUUUCAGCGAGGAGGAAGGCAUUAAGGUUAAUAACCUUAGUGAUUGACGUUACUCGCAGAAGAAGCACCGGCUAACUCCGUGCCAGCAGCCGCGGUAAUACGGAGGGUGCAAGCGUUAAUCGGAAUUACUGGGCGUAAAGCGCACGCAGGCGGUCUGUCAAGUCGGAUGUGAAAUCCCCGGGCUCAACCUGGGAACUGCAUUCGAAACUGGCAGGCUAGAGUCUUGUAGA